UACAGAGGUCUCAAGCGUUGUUCGGAUUCAUUGGGCGUAAAGGGUGCGUAGGCGGCGCGGUAAGUCGGGUGUGAAAUCUCGGGGCUUAACUCCGAAACUGCAUUCGAUACUGCCGUGCUUGAGGACUGGAGAGGAGACUGGAAUUUACGGUGUAGCGGUGAAAUGCGUAGAUAUCGUAAGGAAGACCAGUGGCGAAGGCGGCACUCUGGGCCGAUACUGACACUGAGGAGCGAAAGCGUGGGGAGCGAACAGG
rnacentral:rRNA from 1 species